AAAAAAAAAAAGUUAAGUAGCCUGGUAGGGCUUUGACGAGCGUCAAAACUCCCCUCUAUCUACGAAGCUUCUUUCUUCCAAGCUUCGUAUCUCUCUGACGACGACUCCACCUUCUUGGCUCUCUCCGACGAGUCGUCGACUGCUUCCGAGGGAUCGUCUCUCUCCGACGAUCCCUUUAGAGCUCUUGUCUCUUUCCAAGCUAGGGUCUGGCUUCGAAGACUCCUCCAGCUUCUUGUCUCUCUGACGAGUCGACGAUCCCUUCCAAUCUCUGAUAUGCCUCCGACGGCCCCUUCUAGCGUCUCAUCUCUCUCCGGCGAUCCAUUCGAACCUCUCAUAUCUCUCCAGCGAUCCUUUACAGCCUCUCGUCUCUCUCCAUGACCCCAUACAACCUCUUUGCUUCGAGUAUUCAACUCUCGCUCUCUCUAGUGUUUUUCGUAGCAGACUCCCACGAGACUCUUUGCCAGUGUCUCUAAAACUCAAUUUAGCUGCAGCUGAUUUUGAUUUGUUCAGUUUUCCCUUUUCAUUUUUCAAUUUUCAGUUUUAAUUUCCUGUUGGUGCUGCUGAUUGUUCCUAUUCAAUAAACAAAAACAUGUCCAAAGUGCAGAGAAGGGGAUAACAAGGGAGCUCAAGCUGCCUAUCAAUUUUUACAUGCUAAAAUUAUACAUAGUCUUCUGGAUGCAGUUAUUAAGCAUGGAAACCUGGAACGUUGGCCGGUCAAUUACCAGAAGAAAGGUGCAGUCACAAGCAUUACUGAUGUUGUACUUGGUAGAUUGUGCUGUGUGUGCAUAUGCACAAUGCAAGUUUAGUUUUUUUUUCAUAGCAACUUGGUACUUAUUUUGCAGUUCUAAGUCAACUGGUUUUUCCAUGUCUGCUAUUAGGAUUAUUGGUUACUUUGUUGAAACUGCAGUGAAUUGUAGGUAGAAUUUUCUGGCAUUUUGUUUGUGCAUUUCUGUCACCAAAGAUUUGAGUCCCUUGUUCUGUGAUUGUGAGAUUUUACUAUGAUUUACUCUUCAAUCCAUAGGACAACCCCAAUUAUUCACCCAA